rnacentral:snoRNA from 1 species
CCUGCUGCUGGAGGUUUAAGUAGCACAUCUGUGUCAGAAACUGGCAGAGAAGAGAGAGGCUAUGUAUAUGCUUACUGUUCUAAUCAAUGAACAUGUGAAUGAUUAUUAGCCUAACAUU